GCCAAGGUGCCAGAGUGGUUAAUGGGCUGCCCUGCUAUUGUUCCUAGGAUGAUCGCUGUUCAGGCAGUGGCUUCGGUCGCGCAGGUUCGAAUCCUGUCCUUGACG
rfam:Colletotrichum gloeosporioides Nara gc5 unplaced genomic scaffold scaffold597, whole genome shotgun sequence.